UACAGAGGUCCCAAGCGUUGUUCGGAUUCACUGGGCGUAAAGGGUGCGUAGGUGGCGAGGUAAGUCGGAUGUGAAAGCUCGGAGCUCAACUCCGAAAUGGCAUUGGAAACUACCUUGCUCGAGGGUUGGAGGGGGGACUGGAAUACUUGGUGUAGCAGUGAAAUGCGUAGAUAUCAAGUGGAACACCAGUGGCGAAGGCGGCCAACUGGUCCGAUACUGACGCUGAGGCGCGAAAGCGUGGGGAGCAAACAGG
rnacentral:rRNA from 1 species